rnacentral:rRNA from 1 species
UACGUAGGGGGCAAGCGUUGUCCGGAUUUAUUGGGCGUAAAGAGCGUGUAGGCGGCUUGGUAGGUCCGCUGUGAAAACUCGAGGCUCAACCUCGAGAUGUCGGCGGAAACCACUUGGCUAGAGUCCGGAAGAGGAGAGUGGAAUUCCCGGUGUAGCGGUGAAAUGCGCAGAUAUCGGGAAGAACACCUAUGGCGAAGGCAGCUCUCUGGGACGGUACUGACGCUGAGACGCGAAAGCGUGGGGAGCGAACGGG